UACGUAGGGAGCAAGCGUUGUCCGGAAUCAUUGGGCGUAAAGCGCGCGUAGGCGGCCUCAUAAGUCCGUUGUGAAAGUCAAAGGCUCAACCUUUGAAAGCCGAUGGAUACUGUGAGGCUAGAGUCCGGAAGAGGAGAGUGGAAUUCCUGGUGUAGCGGUGAAAUGCGCAGAUAUCAGGAAGAACACCCGUGGCGAAGGCGGCUCUCUGGGACGGUACUGACGCUGAGACGCGAAAGCGUGGGGAGCGAACAGG
rnacentral:rRNA from 1 species